CCCCCUUUUUUUUUUUUUUUUUUUUUUUCCCCCCUUUUUUUUCAUUUUUACUAAACAUAAAUUCUGUCAUUACUAUGCCCAUCGGAAUUAGCUACAAGAUCCUUGGAGCAAAGGAGCCAGAAAAAAUAGCUGGUUCAGAAUUUCACUUUUUCUCUUCGAAACCAUCAUCCACAAAAUUGAAAACGUCAUCUUCAGACAAAGGUGUUAAAAAAUCACUACCAUUAU
rnacentral:ribozyme from 12 species